rnacentral:rRNA from 1 species
GGAUGCGAUCAUACCAGCACUAAAGCACCGAAUCCCAUCAGAACUCCGAAGUUAAGCAUGCUUGGGCGACAGUAGUACUAGGAUGGGUGACCUACUGGGAAGUCCUCGUGUUGCUUUCCC